rnacentral:piRNA from 1 species
UCCUCAGACUUGGGCUGAUGAGAUGAUU